rnacentral:rRNA from 1 species
UCGAGCGCAGGAAGCAAACAGAUCCCUUCGGGGUGACGUUUGUGGAAUGAGCGGCGGACGGGUGAGUAACACGUGGGCAACCUGCCUGUAAGACUGGGAUAACUCCGGGAAACCGGGGCUAAUACCGGAUAACACUUAUUACCACAUGAUGAUAAGUUGAAAGGUGGCUUUUGCUACCACUUACAGAUGGGCCCGCGGCGCAUUAGCUAGUUGGUGAGGUAACGGCUCACCAAGGCAACGAUGCGUAGCCGACCUGAGAGGGUGAUCGGCCACACUGGGACUGAGACACGGCCCAGACUCCUACGGGAGGCAGCAGUAGGGAAUCUUCCGCAAUGGACGAAAGUCUGACGGAGCAACGCCGCGUGAACGAAGAAGGUUUUCGGAUCGUAAAGUUCUGUUGUUAGGGAAGAACAAGUACCGUUCGAAUAGGGCGGUACCUUGACGGUACCUAUCGAGGAAGCCCCGGCUAACUACGUGCCAGCAGCCGCGGUAAUACGUAGGGGGCAAGCGUUGUCCGGAAUUAUUGGGCGUAAAGCGCGCGUAGGCGGUUUUUUAAGUCUGAUGUGAAAUCUUGCGGCUCAACCGCAAGCGGUCAUUGGAACUGGAGAACUUGAGUACAGAAGAGGAGAGUGGAAUUCCACGUGUAGCGGUGAAAUGCGUAGAGAUGUGGAGGAACACCAGUGGCGAAGGCGACUCUCUGGUCUGUAACUGACGCUGAGGUGCGAAAGCGUGGGGAGCGAACAGGAUUAGAUACCCUGGUAGUCCACGCCGUAAACGAUGAGUGCUAGGUGUUAGGGGUUUCCGCCCCUUAGUGCUGCAGUUAACGCAUUAAGCACUCCGCCUGGGGAGUACGGCCGCAAGGCUGAAACUCAAAAGAAUUGA